AAGCUCGUAGUUGAAUUUCGGCAUUAAUGCGCCGGUCGUGCCUUCGGUAUGUACUGGUGUUACUGGUUCCUACCUUCUGACGAACCGUCAUGUCAUUAAUUUGGUGUGGCGGGGAAUCAGGACUGUUACUUUGAAAAAAUUAGAGUGUUUAAAGCAGGCUCGCGCUUGAAUACAUUAGCAUGGAAUAAUGAAAUAGGACGUUCGAUCCUAUUUUGUUGGUUUCUAGGAUUGACGUAAUGAUUAAUAGGGAUAGUUGGGGGCAUUAGUAUUCAAUUGUCAGAGGUGAAAUUCUUGGAUUUAUUGAAGACUAACUACUGCGAAAGCAUUUGCCAAGGAUGUUUUCAUUAAUCAAGAACGAAAGUUAGGGGAUCGAAGACGAUCAGAUACCGUCGUAGUUUUAACCAUAAACUAUGCCGACUAGGGAUCGGAUGAUGUUAUUUUUAAUGACUCAUUCGGCGCCUUACGGGAAACCAAAGUGUUUGGGUUCCGGGGGGAGUAUGGUCGCAAGGCUGAAACUUAAAGGAAUUGACGGAAGGGCACCACCAGGGGUGGAGCCUGCGGCUUAAUUUGACUCAACACGGGGAAA
rnacentral:rRNA from 1 species